rnacentral:rRNA from 1 species
UACGAGGGGGGCGAGCGUUGUUCGGAAUCACUGGGCGUAAAGAGUGCGUAGGCGGUUAUGGAAGUUAGAAGUGAAAGCCCCAGGCUCAACUUGGGAAUUGCUUUUAAAACUACAUAACUCGAAUUCGGGAGAGGAUAGCGGAAUUCUCAGUGUAGCAGUGAAAUGCGUAGAUAUUGAGAGGAACACCAGUGGCGUAAGCGGCUAUCUGGACCGACAUUGACGCUGAGGCACGAAAGCGUGGGGAUCAAACAGG